rnacentral:rRNA from 1 species
GAUGAACGCUGGCGGCGUGCCUAAUACAUGCAAGUCGAGCGAACGGACGAGAAGCUUGCUUCUCUGAUGUUAGCGGCGGACGGGUGAGUAACACGUGGAUAACCUACCUAUAAGACUGGGAUAACUUCGGGAAACCGGAGCUAAUACCGGAUAAUAUUUUGAACCGCAUGGUUCAAAAGUGAAAGACGGUCUUGCUGUCACUUAUAGAUGGAUCCGCGCUGCAUUAGCUAGUUGGUAAGGUAACGGCUUACCAAGGCAACGAUGCAUAGCCGACCUGAGAGGGUGGUCGGCCACACUGGAACUGAGCCACGGUCCAGACUCCUACGGGAGGCAGCAGUAGGGAAUCUUCCGCAAUGGGCGAAAGCCUGACGGAGCAACGCCGCGUGAGUGAUGAAGGUCUUCGGAUCGUAAAACUCUGUUAUUAGGGAAGAACAUAUGUGUAAGUAACUGUGCACAUCUUGACGGUACCUAAUCAGAAAGCCACGGCUAACUACGUG